rnacentral:misc_RNA from 1 species
GAUUGCACUAAAUAAUAAAUGUUGGUAGCCAGCCACUAGCCCGGCCAAGUAUAUACCACUUGAAGGAAAUCCAACAAUGCCCAACUUAUUGUGAGGCAAUUGGUAUACAAUUUUCCAACAUAAAUUGUUGCUUUUAAAGUUCAUUUCUUGGCAGCAGUCAUAUAUUGAUAUAUACAAACUUGAGCCUAGCUAGAUAAUAGACGAAAAGUGUAGCAAGUUAGUGGUAAAAGUCUG